CCAUUCUCAGGAUCGCACUUGGAGAGUGUCCAGCACUCUCCCAGUCUCAGCUAUCAGAGAGAGAGUCAAGCAGAGGCAUACCCCUUCCAUUCCUAGCUUGGACAGUGGCUAGCGAAUGGAAGGCAAUCUGCUACAAGC